rnacentral:rRNA from 1 species
UCCACGCCGUAAACGAUGGGCACUAGGUGUUGGAGGGUUUGACCCCUUCAGUGCCGUAGCUAACGCAUUAAGUGCCCCGCCUGGGGAGUACGGUCGCAAGACUGAAACUCAAAGGAAUUGACGGGGGCCCGCACAAGCGGUGGAGCAUGUGGUUUAAUUCGAUGCAACGCGAAGAACCUUACCUGGGCUUGAACUGCAGUGGGCAUCCCGAGAAAUCGGGACUUCCUUCGGGACUGCUGUAGAGGUGCUGCAUGGCUGUCGUCAGCUCGUGUCGUGAGAUGUUGGGUUAAGUCCCGCAACGAGCGCAACCCUUGUCCUUAGUUGCCAGCAGGUUAUGCUGGGCACUCUAAGGAGACUGCCCCGGAUGACGGG